rnacentral:rRNA from 1 species
UACGUAGGGUGCGAGCGUUUGUCCGGAAUUAUUGGGCGUAAAGGGCUCGUAGGCGGUUUGUCGCGUCGGGAGUGAAAAUCCAGGGCUUAACUCUGGACUGGCUUUCGAUACGGGCAGACUAGAGGUAUGCAGGGGAGAACGGAAUUCCUGGUGUAGCGGUGAAAUGCGCAGAUAUCAGGAGGAACACCGGUGGCGAAGGCGGUUCUCUGGGCAUUACCUGACGCUGAGGAGCGAAAGUGUGGGGAGCGAACAGG